UUCAUCGCAUAUGUCUAUAGGACAACAUAUAAACGUGUGAACUAAAGAAGUCUUGUGUUGUGUUAUUCUAUAUUAUUUGUAAGACUGUUGUCGAAAUACACGAACCCUAUGCUUGGAUAAGUUAGACAUCAAUGAAUCUUGCACAUCUUCAUGAUUGCCUCCAAGGAUUUAUGAAGCUGGAACAGAACCACUAGACAAUCCAAAAGUGAUUAUCCAAUCGGUGUCUUGGUCAAUAAUGUUAAGUGUUUUAUAAAAUAUUAUAAAUGUAGUUUUAUAGGGGUUUAUAAAUUUAUAAAUUAGAGAGACUUAUAAUAAUUGUUUAUUCUUUGUUACAUCUUGUGGUUAAUACAUUAUUUGGAUUCUCUGAGGAAUACAAACAUUUGGUGA